rnacentral:rRNA from 1 species
UGAGUAACACGUAUGCAACCUGCCUGCCACAGCCGGAUAAUCGGGAGAAAUUCCGUCUAAUACGGCAUAAUGCAUCGACGGGACAUCCUGUUGGUGCCAAAGGUUAAUUCCGGUGGCGGAUGGGCAUGCGUCGCAUUAGUUAGUUGGCGGUGUAACGGACCACCAAGACGACGAUGCGUAGGGGUUCUGAGAGGAAGGCCCCCCACACUGGAACUGAGACACGGUCCAGACUCCUACGGGAGGCAGCAG